rnacentral:tRNA from 1 species
GUUUCUGUAGUAUAGUGGUUAUUACGUUCGCCUCACACGCGAAAGGUCCCCGGUUCGAAACCGGGUGGAAACA